UCGUCACCUAGAAACUGGCAAACCCACCCACCAGAACGACAGGAAUGGCCAGCAGCGGCUCAUUUCCAAGAAGACGAUUGGUCGCUGAAACUGUCUACUAACUGAUGAACUUAUGGAUGAUUGGUGAAUUCUGGAGGAGGCGGACCCUUAAAGGGCUACAGAAAAGCACACGUGGGAAGCAGGCAAUUCAAACAAGUCCUGCCUGGAAUGUACAGUCUGUUUGGGCUCCUAAUUUCCUGUCCCACAGGGCAGGGUAUGGCGUUCUGGAAGGUAUCUGGCCCAGCACCUCCACAGUACUCUGCAGACAGGGAGUACUUGAGAAAUAUUUAUUGAAUGAAUGUAAAGCACUACAGAAAUGUAAGCUAUUUACUAUUACUAGUAUUGCUCUAGAGCCAGGGCCUCCACUAGCCUUCCUUUCAACACCCACCUUUUCUCCAGAGCAUCUGGUGGCUCUUGUCUAGACAUACUAUUCUCAACAGCAUGUUGUACCAUUUGCAUUUAUUACAAAUCAUUCAACUUUCCAACCCAAUAAAGUCACAAAAACAGAAAA